rnacentral:rRNA from 1 species
UUACCGAGUGCGGGUCCUUUGGGCCCAACCUCCCAUCCGUGUCUAUUGUACCCUGUUGCUUCGGCGGGCCCGCCGCUUGUCGGCCGCCGGGGGGGCGCCUCUGCCCCCCGGGCCCGUGCCCGCCGGAGACCCCAACACGAACCCUGUCUGAAAGCGUGCAGUCUGAGUCGAUUGUUUGCAAUCAGUUAAAACUUUCAACAAUGGAUCUCUUGGUUCCGGCAUCGAUGAAGAACGCAGCGAAAUGCGAUAACUAAUGUGAAUUGCAGAAUUCAGUGAAUCAUCGAGUCUUUGAACGCACAUUGCGCCCCCUGGUAUUCCGGGGGGCAUGCCUGUCCGAGCGUCAUUGCUGCCCUCAAGCCCGGCUUGUGUGUUGGGUCGCCGUCCCCUCUCUCCGGGGGGACGGGCCCGAAAGGCAGCGGCGGCACCGCGUCCGAUCCUCGAGCGUAUGGGGCUUUGUCACAUGCUCUGUAGGAUUGGCCGGCGCCUGCCGACGUUUUCCAACCAUUCUUUCCAGGUUGACCUCGGAUCAGGUAGGGAUACCCGCUGAACUUAAG